ensembl:lncRNA
CCCAGGCUUCUUUAGGUGUGGGUUUCCGCCCCUGUCCUCAGAGGAAUUUUGGGAAGAUAAAUGAUAGGUUCGUGUCUUCAUUCCUGUGAACCUUUUACUUGUGUUUUCCAGGGAGACACCGGACCAAAAAUUUUUUGUUGCUGUGGUUGCAAGCUUUGGGACCCAUAACAAUGACACCAGAUGCACUGGAGUGGCUGAACGCAGAGGAAACGCGGAGGUCGUUCUGAUCGACAGCAGAGGCCACAACACGACCCUGAAAAAUGCAUUGUACAUCCCUUCCUACCCGCAAGACAUUUUUUCAGUGAAAGCAGCUACUUCGAGUGCAGCAACGGUGAUCUUCAAGCAGGGAAAAGAUCUCCUAUAACACAAGGACGGUACAAACUUUCAUAUUCAUCACUGGGUGUCCACGCCAGAAUCGCCGUGGAAUUAAUCUCUGCUAACAUUUGUGACCUGAGAGAGGGGACAGUAAACAGCUUUCACUUCUACAAAACACAGCAGCAGAUAUGUAUUAUGAUGAAAUCAUGCAAUUUCUCUCUGACAUCUUGAUGAAAUAAAGUGUUAGUUCACUUUUCUUACUUCCUCAUUCACAUGAAGUGGUUGAUUGUCAGUGAUUAUAUAAAGACCUGUUGCUUUCACACUCUUCAGUGGAUCAGCCAUGGACAAAGGUUUGCUGCUGGUCCUGUUGUGUCUGCAGGUCGUCCUGCUCACCACAGUCUUCACUUCUGCUGAUGCAGCCGCUCUGCUGAGAGAUGAUCAGCAUCAACAACCUGUUGAUCCGAUAAGAAGUCUGCAGCAAGUGAAAGAAGGAGGACAGAUGGAAAAAAAACGUCUAUUCCGGAGACACUGCGGGAGCAGACCAGGAGGAUGCACUUUGUUGGGAAGCAUGCUUCGGCCAGUACAACCCACUCUGAAACCAGACAUCUAGAGGCAAGCUCUGCAGGAAGUGCCAUCAGAUGCAGAAGACUGCAAAUGAAUGAAGACAAUUGUAAUGCUUACAAAACAAUGCAAAGGCUUUUAAUUAGAAAUAAAAGAUUUCAAAUCAGA